AUAUAUCUCUCUCGCGCGCGCACUUCUUACCUCGCUUUUGAUUGCACUGCUUACCUCGCUUUUGAUUGUGAAUCAUGAGAGUUCUAUUUUUUUCUUUUUUCUUUUCCUUUUGAAAAGAGAGAUCUCUUAAAUUAAUGUAUUUGUGGUCUGGAUUCUUUUGAAAUUGUAGUCUAUUGCCAAAUUUGAAUUCAAGAAUAGUCUUCUUCUAUAUCGGAGUUUCUGAUAUUUGUAGAUGUAACUGAUUUCAUUUUUGCGAUAUAACUAUAGAUUCAUAGCUAUAUGGCGCUGACACAAGAGAGAAAUGGCCUUUUGUUUCUCAUCAGUGCAGAUUUUUGUAGAACAAGUUUGCACUGGGUACGAGUGGUUUGUCAUUUGUUGUGUUCAUUUGGAGCCAAAUUAAGUGUAGAAUGCAUUUUCGUUUUCACACGAGCUGAGCAAGGAAUUGGACUAUUGUGUUUGGCCUAUUCAUUAUGUGGGUGAGAGAAAGAGGCCAUUGUUUUGGAUAUUGGUCAAUGCGAUGUCAAUGUCUCCAAAGAUGAUGGUAUUCAUUCCUAAGCAGGCCAUUCUCUUGCUUUCUUUUUCAAAAUUUUGUUAACAACAGUUGAAGGUGAUAUGAUGUAAGUAUGUAACCUUGGCUAGUUUUAAGUUUAUAAUCAAUAAGUGACAUGUUACGUUCUCUAGAGACAUAAUACCAUCAAAUAUGCUUGUAGGUUUCGCAAUUACUUGAGAAUGUUUCCAUGUCUGCAUUUCUCCCUGUUACAUUGUUAAAACAAAACUCUAGGAAGAUAAUAUAUCUACCUGGAAAAGAAAAGUUGGUAAUGUCAUGAAAAUAAAUUUUGCUGUAUACCUAUUGGAUAGGUAGGCUACAGUCAAUAUGAGAAAGGAACUUUCUAUGCCAUGUUACUUGUUUAUUUUGUCCUGUAAAUUUAUGGACAUAUUUCAAGUAUGUGCAUCUGUCGUUUUCUGUCAUAGGU